rnacentral:rRNA from 1 species
GAUGAACGCUGGCGGCGUGCCUAAUACAUGCAAGUCGAGCGAACAGACGAGGAGCUUGCUCCUUCGACGUUAGCGGCGGACGGGUGAGUAACACGUAGGUAACCUACCUAUAAGACUGGGAUAACUUCGGGAAACCGGAGCUAAUACCGGAUAAUAUUUCGAACCGCAUGGUUCGAUAGUGAAAGAUGGCUUGCUAUCACUUAUAGAUGGACCUGCGCCGUAUUAGCUAGUUGGUAAGGUAACGGCUUACCAAGGCAACGAUACGUAGCCGACCUGAGAGGGUGAUCGGCCACACUGGAACUGAGACACGGUCCAGACUCCUACGGGAGGCAGCAGUAGGGAAUCUUCCGCAAUGGGCGAAAGCCUGACGGAGCAACGCCGCGUGAGUGAUGAAGGUCUUCGGAUCGUAAAACUCUGUUAUUAGGGAAGAACAAACGUGUAAGUAACUGUGCACGUCUUGACGGUACCUAAUCAGAAAGCCACGGCUAACUACGUG